rnacentral:lncRNA from 1 species
UGGAGUGGUUGGUCACUUUUUAGAUACAGACAAAUUACGUGUUCGACGAGAACAGUUAUCAUGUGUGCCCACAUCUACUUCUUCAAAUGGCCAUAGCAUCCAAAUAGAAGGGCUGCAGGCCAAUCUGGUCAAUGAAAACAGAAAAUUAAAGGAUGAAUUGGUGAAUGUAGAAUCUGCAAAGAGAGAGUUGGAAGGGAGAUUUCAGUCAGCUUGUGAUAAGAGUGAAUACCUGAUGAAUCAGCUUAAGGAAUCAGAAAAGGCUAUAGCCAGUUUGAGAACAGAGUUACAAAGUUUAAGAGACUCAAAAGGAAUCAUUGAGGACCAAAUUAAAAAUCACAAGGUGAUGAAUGAAGAUCUUGACACUCAGC